UGGGGAAUAUUGGACAAUGGGCGAAAGCCUGAUCCAGCCAUGCCGCGUGUGUGAAGAAGGUCUUCGGAUUGUAAAGCACUUUAAGUUGGGAGGAAGGGCAGUAAGCGAAUACCUUGCUGUUUUGACGUUACCGACAGAAUAAGCACCGGCUAACUCUGUGCCAGCAGCCGCGGUAAUACAGAGGGUGCAAGCGUUAAUCGGAAUUACUGGGCGUAAAGCGCGCGUAGGUGGUUCGUUAAGUUGAAUGUGAAAGCCCCGGGCUCAACCUGGGAACUGCAUCCAAAACUGGCGGGCUAGAGUAGGGCAGAGGGUGGUGGAAUUUCCUGUAUAGCGGUGAAAUGCGUAGAUAUAGGAAGGAACACCAGUGGCGAAGGCGACCACCUGGGCUCAUACUGACACUGAGGUGCGAAAGCGUGGGGAGCAAACAGG
rnacentral:rRNA from 1 species